GGAUUAGAUACCCUGGUAGUCCACACCGUAAACGCUGUCUACUAGCUGUAUGUUUUUUAUAAGAUGUGUGGCGUAGCUAACGCGCUAAGUAGACCGCCUGGGGAGUACGGCCGCAAGGUUAAAACUCAAAUGAAUUGACGGGGGCCCGCACAAGCGGUGGAGCAUGUGGUUUAAUUCGAUGCAACGCGAAGAACCUUACCAUCCCUUGACAUCCUGAGAAGUUAGCAGAGAUGCUUUCGUGCCUUCGGGAACUCAGUGACAGGUGCUGCAUGGCUGUCGUCAGCUCGUGCCG
rnacentral:rRNA from 1 species